rnacentral:rRNA from 1 species
UACGAACUGUGCGAACGUUAUUCGGAAUCACUGGGCUUACAGGGUGCGUAGGCGGCCUUUCAAGUCAGGUGUGAAAGCCCCCGGCUCAACCGGGGAAUUGCGCUUGAAACUGGAGGGCUCGAGUCAGCUAGAGGUGCACGGAACUUCCAGUGGAGCGGUGAAAUGUGUUGAUAUUGGAAGGAACACCGGAGGCGAAAGCGGUGCACUGGGGCUGGUCUGACGCUGAGGCACGAAAGCCAGGGUAGCGAACGGG